GAAAGCGAACAGCUGUCUUCCCGUACCCACUGUGCAUCGAUGUCGACCGGCAGAUGGAACAGGUAUAGAAAGUUAUAGGGACCAAUAAUAGGGGAUUCGAUAAACCCAAUCAUUGAUCACAGCGAUUGAUCGGUCAAGUCCCACCAAGGGGAUAGUCCCGCCAAGGAAGAUACACCAACGCAUAGCCAUCGCAACAGUUCUGUCAUCUGAGGAUUGCGCAAGAGGUAUGCAUGCAGAGGUCAAGCUUUCAUUUCUGAAGAGGGGAAAAAGGGUAGUGAACAUUGAAGACAGAAAGCUGAAACUUGACAACUGCCUCAGCCCCCUGUGACACAGAACAUUUCUGGCUGGAGCUGAAGCUACGUUGGGUGUGUAAGGGGUCUACUGAGUAGAAGCACAGAGGCCGAAGCA